rnacentral:rRNA from 1 species
UGGGGAAUCUUGCACAAUGGGGGAAACCCUGAUGCAGCGACGCCGCGUGAGCGAUGAAGCCCUUCGGGGUGUAAAGCUCUUUCGUCAGGGAAGAUAGUGACGGUACCUGGAGAAGCAGCUGCGGCUAACUACGUGCCAGCAGCCGCGGUAAUACGUAGGCAGCAAGCGUUGUUCGGAGUUACUGGGCGUAAAGGGUGUGUAGGCGGUUCUUUAAGUUUGCUGUGAAAUCUCCCGGCUUAACCGGGAGGGUGCGGUGAAUACUGAGGGACUAGAGUACGGGAGAGGAAAGUGGAAUUCCUGGUGUAGCGGUGAAAUGCGUAGAUAUCAGGAGGAACACCGGUGGUGUAGACGGCUUUCUGGACCGACACUGACGCUGAGACACGAAAGCGUGGGUAGCAAACA